rnacentral:misc_RNA from 1 species
GUACCUGCACAGCCCCAAUAUUGUGCGGGUGGAUUUUUAAGGAGCACAAUAACUAAACUGGCACCAGUCGUUCACUUCGACACCACCAUAGUCCAUAGAUUCCAAGCGUAGAGUUAUGUAAGAAAUCAGCUGCUGUAAAAUGAAUGGUUUAAUAGAGUCUCCUCUUUUUAAAAUGUUUGCAACAACAAACAGUCUUUUUCUUGGCGUUGGAGCUUUGUAUUUAGUUAGUUUUGGUCGUGAAUCAGUUAGAAAAAUGACAGACAAUAACAAGGUUUCAAUCAGGAAACAAAUAUGGUUAGAUGAAAGAGUAAAAUAUACAGAAAGCGAAGGUCUUGAGGAAUUUGCCCAACACUUGGAAGAGUGGAAUAGAAGCCUUGCAGAAUUAGAAAAUCUAUUGGCAAACAACAUCCAACAGAGCAGGGGACAAGAUGAUGUUGUUGAAGACCGAGAUGAGGUUGAUGCUAUGGAUAUUGCUGGUUUUCAUAAUGCUGACUUGAUUUAUGAAAAAGUAGAUACAACAUUAAAUAAUGUUGUCAGCAAAAUAGGUAAAUUAAGAUAUAUGUUAAAAAGCAAACAACAUGACAGUAAUUUCAAUCCUGGUAAAUCCAUAACAAGGGACGAUGAUUCGGACACAGACUCAUUUCUUUCUGCAGAAGGUGAUGAGGAUGAUUUUAAUCAAGAGAUCUCCAACACAGAUCACACACAAGAGAAAGCUCUACAAGCAGCUGGUAUUCACAGGGAUAAACCAUUCUAUCUGAAUGCCUUAGAGCAAUAUUUCAAACAUGGAAUAAAAUGCUGCAAGAAAACUAGGGCAAAAAUGGUUGGAUGCCUGAGUGAUGUAGAAUUUCUUGCAAAGGUCUACUGCAUUAGAGAAGCAUCCAAGAUGGCUUUUGCCAAGAAAGAUGUCCAACUUAAAUUUGAACAAAAUGGUACAGAAUUGCUUCGGUUUUUAAUUACAACUGCAGGAAAGGAUCAUAACGAAUGCGAAAAAAGAUGGAAAGCUUUGCUUGGUUUUUGUAAGAAACCAGAAAACUUCAAAAUCUUUGAAAGAGAAUUAAGUAAAAGAGGAGUACCUUUCAUCACAUUCUAUGAUCUAGUUCUGGAUUUCGUGGUAAUGGACGCAUUUGUUGAUCUUGAAAAUCCGCCUUACUCCAUUAAGGCUGCAGUUCAAAACUCGUGGCUACCUACUUAUAUUCAACAAACGGGUUUAGAAACAGCAGUUUGGGGAGUAUUGAAAGCAAAAAUGCAGAUGUUAGACGAACCAGCAGGAUUUUUGAUGCAUUUUUAUCAUCUUUCUGAAAUCCUCACUCCAGUGCUAGCCUGGGGAUUUUUGGGAUCAGACAAAGCGUUAAAAAACGCUUGUUCUAUUUUCAAGAUUGAGUUAAUGGGGUUUAUUAAAGAUUUAUUCAGUUUCGAAAGGGCUGACUAUAGUUCUUUGGAAAGUUUGUCGACAGAUAUCUCCAGACUUGCUGAGGAAAGUAUCUCACAGGAAAACUAUGCCAGGAUGUUGUUGAUAGCGUAAAUGCAGACAAGAUGGGAUAUAUCAAUGAGAUUCACCAACCUAAUUUGGAACGGCAAUCUCAAUAAUCCCGAGAGCAAAGACUUUAUGGAACAAGCCCGUCAGAUUGAGAGUGCAGUACGUGGAGUUCUAAAGAGUGAUGCAACGUUUCGUACAGUCAAAGUGGAAAAAUUUUCUCGAUGAAGUGUUGUUAGUAAUCUAAAAAUAAAUUAUGUGGCUGGCACAGUCUUCACUACCCCGAUAGACACCCUGACGAAGGCUGCAGCUGAUGGUGAAAUUGGUAACCUUACAGUAGACAACUCAUCAUUAGACAUUGUUAAUUAUACAUGUGACACACCUCUUGGGAUGGAAAACCAUCGCAUUCCUGACAGCGCCCUUAGUUCAGCAAACCAGAUAAUUAUCAUCCAUUUACAAAUGCUCGUUUAAACCAUAAUGGACCUGGUUGGACUCCGCGAGUUAAUCGUAUUGAAGAUGCAUAUCUACAGGUUGAUUUCGGGGAAGUUGUUCAGCUAACAGGCAUUGCCACGCAAGGGUCUUCAUAUGGUGGAGAAAGCUGGCUACAAUCCUAUCUGUUUGACUAUAGCGUUGACAGCAGGAUAUGGGUAGAAUAUAAAGAAGAUAUACAGAUAAUUAUGCUAUGACAUUUUUAGCAAACUCUGAUGUGAAUACGGCUGUGCGAAAUGACCUAAAGAAUCCAGUGAGAACAAGAUAUUUGAGAGUUAAAAAAGAACACGAAUGUCGUUAUUAGAGUUUUCGUUGUGAGUUUUAUGGUUGCCCUAUACCAAAUGUUGGAAUGUUACCAACGUUUGUGCCUUUUAACCCAACCCAGAAUAAAGGUAAAAGGCCCUGGAAACGAAGUUGUUCUCGCCCUACAAAUCAACUCAACUCAACAGGUACAUCUAGUCAUGAUGUUGGUGAUGGUGAUCAGAAGGAUAGUAAAACUGAUUUGAUUGUUGGUCUUGUUCUUGGUAUCUCAGCCGUGUUUAUACUCGCCAUUGUUAGUUUGGCAAAUUAAAAGACGUAAGAUAACUCGAUCGUUUGGUGCCGAAGAGUCUAUAGUGAUGAAACAAACAGUGAAUCCUGAUAUCACUGAUCUAAUAUAGUAAAUACAUUAUAAGUUCUUGUAAUUCCUUACAUCACGCAGUUAAUUCAUUCGUUGAUUAUUUAAAGUACUUGCUCGGUAAUG